UCUUCUUGAAUUUGCUGAGUUCUGCAAAUUUCCUUCCAGCCUGUGCCCAAUAUUUAUAGAUGUCUGCUUCUAAUAUUCUAGUGCAGGGGUUU